UACGGAGGGGGCUAGCGUUGUUCGGAAUUACUGGGCGUAAAGCGCGCGUAGGCGGACCUGCAAGUCGGGGGUGAAAGCCCGAGGCUCAACCUCGGAACUGCCUUCGAUACUGCGGGUCUCGAGUCCGGGAGAGGUGAGUGGAAUUCCUAGUGUAGAGGUGAAAUUCGUAGAUAUUAGGAAGAACACCAGUGGCGAAGGCGGCUCACUGGCCCGGUACUGACGCUGAGGCGCGAAAGCGUGGGGAGCAA
rnacentral:rRNA from 1 species